ACGACGUGGCUGCAUGACAGUGAGCAACGCAUUGCAAACACAUCAUCAUCAUCCUCCAUUAAUUAAUCAUCGCCACCGUGCUCGACCGUGACGCCGCCAUUCUUAAUUAAUCUCUUCUUUGUGUUUGUGUUUCUGUUUAAUCACCACAUUUUUCCUUCCAUUUUCUUCUUUUCCUUUCUAUACUAAAAAAAGGGAGAAAGAUAUGGAUGUAAUGCUCAAGUUGUCAGAGAGGAGGAGAAGAGGAUGACUGAUGGAUUAAGAUU
rnacentral:sRNA from 1 species